rnacentral:rRNA from 1 species
CAGGCUGCAACCCGCCUGCAUGAAGUCGGAAUUGCUAGUAAUCGCGGAUCAGCAUGCCGCGGUGAAUACGUUCCCGGGCCUUGUACACACCGCCCGUCACACCAUGAGAGUCGGGGACACCCGAAGCCUGUAGCAUAACCGCGAGGGGUGCGCAGUCGAAGGUGGAUUCGAUGAUUGGGGUGAAGUCGUAACAAGGUACC